AGUACGGCGGAACACGAGAAAUUCCGUCGGAAUCCGCGGGGACCAUCCCGCAAGGCUAAAUACUCCCUAGUGACCGAUAGUGAACCAGUACCGUGAGGGAAAGGUGAAAAGCACCCCGGAAGGGGAGUGAAAUAGAUCCUGAAACCGUGUGCCUACAACAAGUCAAAGCUCGUUAAUGAGUGAUGGCGUGCCUUUUGUAGAAUGAACCGGCGAGUUACGAUUGCAUGCGAGGUUAAGUCGAAGAGACGGAGCCGCAGCGAAAGCGAGUCUGAAUAGGGCGAAUGAGUAUGUAGUCGUAGACCCGAAACCAUGUGAUCUACCCAUGUCCAGGUUGAAGGUGCGGUAAAACGCACUGGAGGACCGAACCCACGUACGUUGAAAAGUGCGGGGAUGAGGUGUGGGUAGCGGAGAAAUUCCAAACGAACUUGGAGAUAGCUGGUUCUCUCCGAAAUAGCUUUAGGGCUAGCCUCGGAAUUGAGAAUGAUGGAGGUAGAGCA
rnacentral:rRNA from 1 species